UGUGUGUGUGUGUGUGUGUAGGUGAGAGCGUGCCUGUGGAUGAGCAGUAUGAUAAAGAGAGGGCUAACGCUUGUGUGUGUGUGUGUAGGUGAGAGCGUGCCUGUGGAUGAGCAGUAUGAUAAAGAGAGGGCUAACGCGUGUGUGUGUGUGUGUGUAGGUGAGAGCGUGCCUGUGGAUGAGCAGUAUGAUAAAGAGAGGGCUAACGCUUGUGUGUGUGUGUGUAGGUGAGAGCGUGCCUGUGGAUGAGCAGUAUGAUAAAGAGAGGGCUAACGCUUGUGUGUGUGUGUGUAGGUGAGAGCGUGCCUGUGGAUGAGCAGUAUGAUAAAGAGAGGGCUAACGCUUGUGUGUGUGUGUGUAGGUGAGAGCGUGCCUGUGGAUGAGCAGUAUGAUAAAGAGAGGGCUAACGCUUGUGUGUGUGUGUGUAGGUGAGAGCGUGCCUGUGGAUGAGCAGUAUGAUAAAGAGAGGGCUAACGCCAGUG